rnacentral:tRNA from 1 species
GCCGGGGUAGCUCAUUGGUAGAGCGCAGCCCUGAAAAGGCUGGCGUAGGCAGUCCGAUUCUGCCCCCCGGCA